AGUGAACGCUGGCGGUAGGCCUAACACAUGCAAGUCGAACGGCAGCACAGUAAGAGCUUGCUCUUACGGGUGGCGAGUGGCGGACGGGUGAGGAAUACAUCGGAAUCUACUUUUUCGUGGGGGAUAACGUAGGGAAACAUACGCUAAUACCGCAUACGACCAACGGGUGAAAGCAGGGGAUCUUCGGACCUUGCGCGAUUGAAUGAGCCGAUGUCGGAUUAGCUAGUUGGCGGGGUAAAGGCCCACCAAGGCGAUGAUCCGUAGCUGGUCUGAGAGGAUGAUCAGCCACACUGGAACUGAGACACGGUCCAGACUCCUACGGGAGGCAGCAGUGGGGAAUAUUGGACAAUGGGCGCAAGCCUGAUCCAGCCAUGCCGCGUGGGUGAAGAAGGCCUUCGGGUUGUAAAGCCCUUUUGUUGGGAAAGAAAAGCAGCAGGUUAAUACCCCGCUGUUCUGACGGUACCCAAAGAAUAAGCACCGGCUAACUUCGUG
rnacentral:rRNA from 1 species